rnacentral:rRNA from 1 species
GACGAGGGGUCCUAGCGUUGUUCGGAAUUACUGGGCGUAAAGCGCACGUAGGCGGAUACUUAAGUCCGUUGUGAAAUCCCUGGCUCAACCCAGGAAUUGCUUCGGAUACUGGCGUGCUUGAGGCUAGUAGGGGUCACUGGAACUGACGGUGGAGCGGUGAAAUGCGUAGAUAUCGUCAGGAACGCCGAUGGUGAAGACAGGUGACUGGGCUAGUUCUGACACUGAGGCACGAAAGCGUGGGGAGCGAACGGG